AUUGAACGCUGGCGGCAGGCCUAACACAUGCAAGUCGAACGAGUGGCGGACGGGUGAGUAAUGUCUGGGAAACUGCCUGAUGGAGGGGGAUAAAUACUGGAAACGGUAGCUAAUACCGCAUACCAUCGGAUGUGCCCAGAUGGGAUUAGCUGGUUGGUGGGGUAACGGCUAACCAAGGCGACGAUCCCUAGCUGGUCUGAGAGGAUGACCAGCCACACGGGAAAUGAGACACGGUCCAGACUCCGACGAGAGGCAGCAGUGGGGAAGAUGGCACAAUGGGCGCAAGCCUGAUGCAGCCAUGCCGCGUGUAUGAAGAAGGCCGUCGGGGUGUAAAGUACUUUCAGCGGGGAGGCGUUACCCGCAGAAGAAGCACCGGCUAACUCCGUGCCAGCAGCCGCGGUAAUAC
rnacentral:rRNA from 1 species